rnacentral:rRNA from 1 species
UACGAAGGGGGCUAGCGUUGCUCGGAAUCACUGGGCGUAAAGGGUGCGUAGGCGGGUCUUUAAGUCAGGGGUGAAAUCCUGGAGCUCAACUCCAGAACUGCCUUUGAUACUGGAGAGCUUGAGUCCGGAAGAGGUGAGUGGAACUCCGAGUGUAGAGGUGAAAUUCGUAGAUAUUCGGAAGAACACCAGUGGCGAAGGCGGCUCACUGGUCCGGUACUGACGCUGAGGUGCGAAAGCGUGGGGAGCAAACAGG